CCUACGGGAGGCAGCAGUGGGGAAUAUUGGGCAAUGGGCGCAAGCCUGACCCAGCAACGCCGCGUGAAGGAAGAAGGCUUUCGGGUUGUAAACUUCUUUUAAGAGGGAAGAGCAGAAGACGGUACCUCUUGAAUAAGCCACGGCUAACUACGUGCCAGCAGCCGCGGUAAUACGUAGGUGGCAAGCGUUGUCCGGAUUUACUGGGUGUAAAGGGCGUGUAGCCGGGAAGGCAAGUCAGAUGUGAAAUCUGGAGGCUCAACCUCCAAAUUGCAUUUGAAACUGUUUUUCUUGAGUACUGGAGAGGCAGGCGGAAUUCCUUGUGUAGCGGUGAAAUGCGUAGAUAGAAGGAGGAACACCAGUGGCGAAGGCGGUCUGCUGGACAGCAACUGACGGUGAGGCGCGAAAGCGUGGGGAGCAAACAGGAUUAGAUACCCGAGUAGUC
rnacentral:rRNA from 1 species